rnacentral:rRNA from 1 species
GUUUCCGUAGGUGAACCUGCGGAAGGAUCAUUGCACACACAAGUUGCAGCCAACCCACGGCGAACGAACACAUUGUCCCCCUCGGCGGGUCGUGGCGCCUCGCGGCGUCGCGGCCGGCCACCUCCCUUCGUCACGCGCGAGUUCGCUCGCGCGCGGCGUCGGGUUUCCACGAUGCGUCCACCUUAUGACUGAGUCCCGAAUUAUGACUCGAGAGGAGUGAGUUCCGCCCCCUCGGCUUGGCUUGCUGAGUGGAGGGGGCUGACGCUGGCUACCUUGCGAGUCGUGAGAAACAUAACCGAAACAACUCUCAGCAACGGAUAUCUUGGCUCUUGCAACGAUGAAGAACGCAGCGAAAUGCGAUACGUAGUGUGAAUUGCAGAAUUCCGCGAAUCAUCGAGUCUUUGAACGCAAGUUGCGCCCGAGGCUUGUCCAAGGGCAUUUCCGUUAGAGCGUCACCGCGCCCCCCACCGCUCCACUCCCCUUGGCUUGCCAAGGGGAGUCGGGUCGAGUGAAAGUGGCCAUCCCGGUAUUAUUCCGUCGAAGGACGGCUUUAAUUAAGGGUUGGCUGAAAUGGAAGGAAUCGGGCCGCCGUGGCGACACAGUCCGCGAUCGGGUGAUCCGAGCUCCUCCGGGAGUCCGGAAUUUUUCUAAGUGCGUGACUGCGUCCCCCAGUUGGCUGUGGUUACCUCGUGCAGGUCGAGCGCGCCCACGCGGCGCGCGUCACGCAUCAGACCUCUAAUCGGAAAAGACUACCCGCUGAG